ensembl:lncRNA
AUUUCCAGACUACUUCUCAAUGCUGUUCAGUAAAUUCUCUGUUACUGCAGCAAGUCUUUUCCAAGUUCUGGUUUUCCUUUUCUCUGAAGUGAUUUCCAGGCUGCCAGCAACAAAGUAAUCCAUUUUACAAAACCUAUUGGAGCCUGUAUGGGAACUGUUGAGUCACUGCCUGAACCACUGACAGAGCACCUGGGAAAAGGACCCAGUCAGCCCUGGGCGCACAAGUGAAGGCAAUUCACCUGUGAAAUAGGAAGGGGUGGAGUCUGGCUGCACCUCUGUUAGAUCUCAUUUGAGGGAACCUAGAAUCUUCUGAUAUGGGUCUGAUCUUCAGUGUUACAAGCAUAUUUCAAUUAACCAAUCAGUCAACACAGAAAUAAAUGAUUAAAUUCAGAGGAGCUGGGUUUGUGUCAACUACCUGAAAAAACUGCAGUGGAAGAAAACCAUAAAAGAGGUCACUUGAAUUAGACAGUUAACACACAGUGAAGAAAAACACAAAGCCAGAAAAGCAUUACCUCCUGCAGCACACAGAUGACUUCCCCCAGGGCAGCAACCACACAUACCCUAAUUUCAACAAUGUAAACAAGACCUCAGCUUCACCAGCCUUUUUAGUGCUGCUACUAAUAACUGAGCAAGUUCAGAAGCACAGCAGAG